GAUGAACGCUGGCGGCGUGCCUAAUACAUGCAAGUCGAACGCUGAAGGAAGGAGCUUGCUCUUUCCGGAUGAGUUGCGAACGGGUGAGUAACGCGUAGGUAACCUGCCUGGUAGCGGGGGAUAACUAUUGGAAACGAUAGCUAAUACCGCAUAACAGUAGAUGUUGCAUGAUAUCUACUUAAAAGGUGCAAUUGCACCACUACCAGAUGGACCUGCGUUGUAUUAGCUAGUUGGUGAGGUAACGGCUCACCAAGGCGACGAUACAUAGCCGACCUGAGAGGGUGAUCGGCCACACUGGGACUGAGACACGGCCCAGACUCCUACGGGAGGCAGCAGUAGGGAAUCUUCGGCAAUGGACGGAAGUCUGACCGAGCAACGCCGCGUGAGUGAAGAAGGUUUUCGGAUCGUAAAGCUCUGUUGUAAGAGAAGAACGAGUGUGAGAGUGGAAAGUUCACACUGUGACGGUAUCUUACCAGAAAGGGACGGCUAACUACGUG
rnacentral:rRNA from 1 species